UCUUUUCGUCUAAAAGUCUUUUGUUUUUUUUUAUAUAUAUAUCUUUGUUUAUCAAAUUUCAUAAUAUGUUUUUUUCUGUAAAUAUGUAAAUAAACGAGGCAAACUGAUUUGAAAUAUUUAUAAAAGCACCAGUACAACAAUUUUGGUUUGCUAUAAUUUUAUAGCAACUUUUGAUAAUUUUAAGAACCAUUCACAUAUCAGCCGAAUAUUUUAUAUUUUUUGUACAGAAGCUUUUUAGGAUAAAAGCUUAGUAGUAAAGUAACUUAAAUGUAGAUGGCCCAUGAAUUCAAUAAUCUCGUCUAAUAUUGUUUAAAUGUAUGUGUAAGUGUUAACUGUCAGAAUAUAUGACUAAGCAUUCUAAAGCAUGAAGAUUACAUUUUCUCAAAUCUUUACUCACUUUUAAAUCGUCUUGGCUGAAGAGUGGAAGCAAGUUCGGUGAAUAAUUUACGUUUUUAUUUGAUUCGAAGUUUUUUGAUUAAUUUUUCACGCGGAACAAAGGCUCUGCUCUCGAGCAAUUAUUUAUCGUACAAAAGCAGCGUCCGAUUGACGCUUUUUGUACGGGCUAAAAAGCUCUACGGCCUUUUUCGGCCAUUACUACUCCACGAGGUGGACAUCUGGACCGUGCAGGCCCGCCAUUACGGUAGCCAAACGGGUAUAGAGGCCCUCCGACCUGCCGAGAAUCCGGAGAAGGUUCAUUCCGUCACGGUGGUCGCGUAGUCCCGAAGGCGAAGACCAGUUGGAGGCACGUUGGCCUUCUACGAGAGGAGACGGUAGAGUAUCGGACAUCAGCCAUUGCCCAUACCCGCAACUUUACUUCGGCCUAUCACGCACGUGUGCCCCUCCCGGCGACGCUUCUGCCGAGGAGUCGGGGUGUUUCCUGAAACGCAUGGUUCGGACACCCGCUGCAGCCGGUACCCAGUGCUGAACAUCACGCGACGUCGCUACACCCCUGCCGGUUCGCUCAGCUGCCAGCAUUAACAUAAAUCCUGAUCAGGUAUGUCGUUAACCAUGGCCAUGUCACUCACACUACAACACUCACACUUACACCUUACACAUAAAUGAAUUACCCGAAAAAAUGAAUACAAUACAUAAAUGAAUUCAAUCUAAA